rnacentral:tRNA from 2 species
GCGCUCGUAGCUCAGCUGGAUAGAGUACCUGGCUACGAACCAGGCGGUCAGAGGUUCGAA